rnacentral:lncRNA from 10 species
GGGACUACAGGCGCCCGCCAUCACGCCCGGCUGCUUUUUUUGUUUUAGUAGAGAGGAGGUUUCACCGUGUUAGCCAGGAUGGUCUCAAUCUCCUGACCUCGUGAUCCGCCCGCCUCGGCCUCUCAAAGUGCUGGGAUUACACGCGUGAGCCACCGCGCCUGGCCUGAAGAAAGAAGUCAUUAAAGAAGCAACCCAUGGCAAAACUAGUUAUUUUCUUAAAACAGUAGGAAGAAGAAAAGCUUUUUG